UACGAAGGGGGCUAGCGUUGUUCGGAAUUACUGGGCGUAAAGCGCACGUAGGCGGAUCUGUAAGUUGGGGGUGAAAGCCCAGGGCUCAACCCUGGAAUUGCCUUCAAGACUGCAGGUCUUGAGGUCAGGAGAGGCGAGUGGAAUUCCGAGUGUAGAGGUGAAAUUCGUAGAUAUUCGGAGGAACACCAGUGGCGAAGGCGACUCGCUGGACUGAUACUGACGCUGAGGUGCGAAAGCGUGGGGAGCAAACAGG
rnacentral:rRNA from 1 species